ACUCCUGCGGGAGGCAGCAGUGGGGAAUUUUGGACAAUGGGCGAAAGCCUGAUCCAGCAAUGCCGCGUGCAGGAUGAAGGCCUUCGGGUUGUAAACUGCUUUUGUACGGAACGAAAAAGCUCCUUCUAAUACAGGGGGCCCAUGACGGUACCGUAAGAAUAAGCACCGGCUAACUACGUGCCAGCAGCCGCGGUAAUACGUAGGGUGCGAGCGUUAAUCGGAAUUACUGGGCGUAAAGCGUGCGCAGGCGGUUAUGUAAGACAGAUGUGAAAUCUCCGGGCUCAACCUGGGAACUGCAUUUGUGACUGCAUGGCUAGAGUACGGUAGAGGGGGAUGGAAUUCCGCGUGUAGCAGUGAAAUGCGUAGAUAUGCGGAGGAACACCGAUGGCGAAGGCAAUCCCCUGGACCUGUACUGACGCUCAUGCACGAAAGCGUGGGGAGCAAACAGGAUUAGAAACCCUAGUAGUCCCAUGAU
rnacentral:rRNA from 1 species